UACGGAGGGGACUAGCGUUGUUCGGAAUUACUGGGCGUAAAGCGCACGUAGGCGGAUUUGUAAGUCAGGGGUGAAAUCCCGAGGCUCAACCUCGGAACUGCCUUUGAUACUGCAAAUCUCGAGUCCGGAAGAGGUGAGUGGAAUUCCUAGUGUAGAGGUGAAAUUCGUAGAUAUUAGGAAGAACACCAGUGGCGAAGGCGGCUCACUGGUCCGGUACUGACGCUGAGGUGCGAAAGCGUGGGGGAGCAAACAGG
rnacentral:rRNA from 1 species